rnacentral:rRNA from 1 species
GACGAACGCUGGCGGCGUGCUUAACACAUGCAAGUCGAACGGAAAGGCCCUGCUUUUGUGGGGUGCUCGAGUGGCGAACGGGUGAGUAACACGUGAGUAACCUGCCCUUGACUUUGGGAUAACUUCAGGAAACUGGGGCUAAUACCGGAUAGGAGCUCCUGCUGCAUGGUGGGGGUUGGAAAGUUUCGGCGGUUGGGGAUGGACUCGCGGCUUAUCAGCUUGUUGGUGGGGUAGUGGCUUACCAAGGCUUUGACGGGUAGCCGGCCUGAGCGGGUGACCGGCCACAUUGGGACUGAGAUACGGCCCAGCCUCCUACGGGAGGCAACAGUGGGGAAUAUUGCACAAUGGGCGGAAGCCUGAUGCAGCAACGCCGCGUGCGGGAUGACGGCCUUCGGGUUGUAAACCGCUUUCGCCUGUGACGAAGCGUGAGUGACGGUAAUGGGUAAAGAAGCACCGGCUAACUACGUG